rnacentral:sRNA from 1 species
GGUUGUGAGGGCGAUCUGGCUGUGAAACCUUUCACCCCAUUGAUCGCCAGGGUUGACCAGGCUGAUCUGGCUGGCUAGGUGGGCAUCCUCAUCCUCCCUCAGCACUCCAUGUGCGUCCCUUCCGAAGCUGCAUGCUUGGUCAAAGACAUUCCGCACUAGAGGACCAUUCUUCGGUCAGGGAUAUAUGAGGGAAGCGGAUUUGGCUCAACUGAUAAGAGUAUCUGUCUACCAUAUGGGAGGUCCAGGGUUC